rnacentral:rRNA from 1 species
GACGAACGCUGGCGGCGUGCCUAAUACAUGCAAGUCGAGCGAAUGGAUUAAGAGCUUGCUCUUAUGAAGUUAGCGGCGGACGGGUGAGUAACACGUGGGUAACCUGCCCAUAAGACUGGGAUAACUCCGGGAAACCGGGGCUAAUACCGGAUAAUAUUUUGAACUGCAUGGUUCAAAAUUGAAAGGCGGCUUCGGCUGUCACUUAUGGAUGGACCCGCGUCGCAUUAGCUAGUUGGUGAGGUAACGGCUCACCAAGGCAACGAUGCGUAGCCGACCUGAGAGGGUGAGCGGCCACACUGGGACUGAGACACGGCCCAGACUCCUACGGGAGGCAGCAGUAGGGAAUCUUCCGCAAUGGACGAAAGUCUGACGGAGCAACGCCGCGUGAGUGAUGAAGGCUUUCGGGUCGUAAAACUCUGUUGUUAGGGAAGAACAAGUGCUAGUUGAAUAAGCUGGCACCUUGACGGUACCUAACCAGAAAGCCACGGCUAACUACGUGCCAGCCGCCGCGGUAA